rnacentral:rRNA from 1 species
GAUGAACGCUGGCGGCGUGCCUAAUACAUGCAAGUCGAGCGAACAGACGAGGAGCUUGCUCCUUUGACGUUAGCCGCGGACGUGUGUGAAACACGUGGAUAACCCACCUAACAGACUGGGAUAACCUCGGGAAACCGGAGCAAAUACCGGAGAAUAUACUGAACCGCAUGGUUCAAUAGUGAAAGACGGCUGUGGUGUCACUUAUAGAUGGAUCUGCGCCGCAUUAGCUAGUUGGUAAGGUAAAGGGUUAUCAAGGCGACGAUGCGUAGCCGACCUGAGAGAGUGAUCGGCCACACUGGAGCUGGGACACGGUCCAGACUCCUACGAGAGGCAGCAGUAGGGAAUCUGCCGCAGUAGGCGGAAGCAUGACACAACGACGCCGCGCGAGUGAUGAAAGUCUUCGGAGCGUAAGACUCUGUUAUUAGGGGAAAACAAAUGUAUAAGUAACUAUGCACGUCUUGACGGUACCUGGUAAGAAAGCCACGGCUAACUACGUG